GAUGAACGCUGGCGGCGUGCCUAAUACAUGCAAGUCGAGCGAACAGACGAGGAGCUUGCUCCUCUGACGUUAGCGGCGGACGGGUGAGUAACACGUGGAUAACCUACCUAUAAGACUGGGAUAACUUCGGGAAACCGGAGCUAAUACCGGAUAAUAUAUUGAACCGCAUGGUUCAAUAGUGAAAGACGGAUUUGCUGUCACUUAUAGAUGGAUCCGCGCCGCAUUAGCUAGUUGGUAAGGUAACGGCUUACCAAGGCGACGAUGCGUAGCCGACCUGAGAGGGUGAUCGGCCACACUGGAACUGAGACACGGUCCAGACUCCUACGGGAGGCAGCAGUAGGGAAUCUUCCGCAAUGGGCGAAAGCCUGACGGAGCAACGCCGCGUGAGUGAUGAAGGUCUUCGGAUCGUAAAACUCUGUUAUUAGGGAAGAACAAUUGUGUAAGUAACUAUGCACGUCUUGACGGUACCUAAUCAGAAAGCCACGGCUAACUACGUG
rnacentral:rRNA from 1 species